AUGGAGAGAUAUAGGGAGCAAAAGAAGGACUUGCAUAUGGUGUUCAUUGACUUGGAGAAGGCCUAUGAUAAGAUACCGCGGAAUGUCAUGUGGUGGGCCUUGGAGAAACACAAAGUCCCAACAAAGUACAUUACCCUCAUCAAGGACAUGUACGAUAAUGUUGUGACAAGUGUUCGAACAAGUGAUGUCGACACUGAUGACUUCCCGAUUAAGAUAGGACUGCAUCAGGGGUCAGCUUUGAGCCCUUAUCUUUUUGCAUUGGUGAUGGAUGAGGUCACAAGGGAUAUACAAGGAGAUAUCCCAUGGUGUAUGCUCUUUGCGGAUGAUGUGGUACUAGUUGACGAUAGUCGGGCGGGGAUAAAUAGGAAGUUAGAGUUAUGGAGACAAACCUUGGAAUCGAAAGGGUUUAGGCUUAGUAGGACUAAAACCAAGUACAUGAUGUGCGGUUUCAGUACUACUAGGUGUGAGGAGGAGGAGGUUAGCCUUGAUGGUCAGGUGGUACCUCAGAAGGACACCUUUCGGUAUUUGGGGUCAAUGCUGCAGGAGGAUGGGGGUAUUGAUGAAGAUGUGAACCAUCGGAUCAAAGCCGGAUGGAUGAAGUGGCGCCAAGCUUCUGGCAUUCUCUGUGACAAGAGAGUGCCAUAA
rnacentral:rRNA from 1 species